rnacentral:misc_RNA from 1 species
GUAAGAUACAGCAGACAAGAACUUGAGGUAGCUUGUGAAGAUUUCAGCAACAUCAUUGGAUCCUCACCAGAUAGCAUAGUUUACAAAGGAACCAUGAAAGGCGGACCUGAAAUCGCUGUAAUAUCCCUUUGCGUCAAAGAAGAGCACUGGACAGCCUAUCUUGAACUUUAUUUUCAGAAAGAGGUGGCAGAAUUGGCCAGAAUAAAUCACGAGAACGCUGGGAAACUUCUAGGCUAUUGCAGAGAGAGUAGUCCCUUUACGAGGAUGUUGGUGUUUGAGUAUGCAUCUAAUGGGACAUUAUAUGAACACCUUCAUUAUGGAGAAGGAUGCCAACUAUCUUGGACACGCCGGAUGAAAAUAGUUAUUGGCAUCGCUAAGGGACUGACGUAUUUCCAUUCAGAACUUGACCCUCCAUUUACUAUAUCAGAACUGAAUUCAAAUUCUGUAUAUCUGACGGAAGAUUUUUCUCCCAAGCUUGUUGAUUUUGAAAGCU